CCCGUUGUACACACCGCCCGUCACGCCAUGGAAGCUGGGGGGACCUGAAGCCGGUGGGCUAACCGCAAGGGGGCAGCCGUCAAAGGUCAAUUCAGUGACUGGGGCG
rnacentral:rRNA from 1 species